AUUGAACGCUGGCGGCAUGCCUUACACAUGCAAGUCGAACGGCAGCACGGGUGCUUGCACCUGGUGGCGAGUGGCGAACGGGUGAGUAAUACAUCGGAACGUACCUUAUCGUGGGGGAUAACGCAGCGAAAGCUGUACUAGUACCGCAUACGCCCUGAGGGGGAAAGCGGGGGAUCGCAAGACCUCGCGCGAUUAGAGCGGCCGAUGCCUGAUUAGCUAGUUGGUGGGGUAAAAGCCCACCAAGGCGACGAUGAGUAGCUGGUCUGAGAGGACGAUCAGCCACACUGGGACUGAGAGACGGCCCAGACUCCUACGGGAGGCAGCAGUGGGGAAUUUUGGACAAUGGGGGCAACCCUGAUCCAGCAAUGCCGCGUGAGUGAAGAAGGCCUUCGGGUUGUAAAGCUCUUUUGUCAGGGAAGAAACACCGGCUCUAACACAGUCCGGGAAUGACGGUACCUGAAGAAUAAGCACCGGCUAACUACGUGCCAGCCGCCGCGGUAA
rnacentral:rRNA from 1 species